CGGAAGUGACCCGUCGGCCGACUGACCCGUCUAUCAUGGCGGCCGCGGCCACCUCUCCCGCGCUGAAGCGGCUGGAUCUGCGCGACCCCGCGGCGCUCUUCGAGACACAUGGAGCGGAGGAGAUCCGCGGGCUGGAGCGCCAGGUUCGGGCCGAGAUCGAGCACAAGAAAGAGGAGCUGCGGCAAAUGGUGGGAGAGCGGUACCGCGACCUGAUCGAGGCGGCCGACACCAUCGGCCAGAUGCGCCGCUGCGCCGAGGGACUGGUGGACGCCGUGAAGGCCACCGACCAGUACUGCGCCCGUCUCCGCGAAGCCGGCUCGGCCGCCCCCCUGCCGCCGCGGGACCCGCAGGGCUCUGCCGUGGAGACAUCUGGAGGCUCGCUGAUCACUAGACUGCGAGACGAGGACCAGAUCAAGUCCACCUCUCCAAGAGACCGCGCAAAGCCCCAGCAGCCAUCCCAGGAGAAGUUCUACAGCAUGGCUGCCCAGAUCAAGCUACUCUUGGAAAUUCCUGAGAAGAUCUGGAGCUCCAUGGAGGCCUCUCAGUACCUCCAUGCCACACAGCUGUACCUGCUCUGCUGCCACCUCCACAGCCUGCUCCAGCUGGAUUCUUCUGGCUCCCGAUACAGCCCCGUCCUCUUGCGAUUCCCGAUACUCAUCCGGCAGGUCGCAGCGGCCAGCCACUUCCGGUCAACUAUUCUGCAUGAAAGCAAGCUGCUGCUCAAAUGCCAGGCCGUGUCUGACCAGGCUGUAGCCGAGGCCCUGUGCUCGAUAAUGCUCUUAGAAGAGAGUUCUCCUCGCCAGGCCCUAGCAGACUUCCUGUUGGCCAGAAAGGCAGCUAUUCAGAAACUCCUCAACCAGCCGCACCACAGUACUGGCAUCAAGACUCAGGUCUGCUCGUUAGUGGAGCUGCUGGCCACCACUUUGAACCAGGCUCAUGCUCUUUUCUACACUUUACCAGAAGGCCAGCUGCCAGAUCCGUCCCUGCCAUGCGGCUUGCUCUUCUCAACUCUAGAGACCAUCACGGGCCAGCAUCCGACCGGGAAGGGCGCCGGUGUUCUGCAAGAGGAGGUGAAACUGUGCAGCUGGUCCAGACACCUGCCGGCAUCCGUUGUCCAGUUCCAGCCGGCUCUCCGAACCUUGGCACAGCCCAUCAGCCAGGAGUACCUGAAAGACACGCUGCGGAAAUGGAUCCACAUGUGUAAUGAAGACAUUAAAAAUGGGAUCACCAACCUGCUUUUUUACGUGAAGAGCAUAAGAGGGCUCGCAGGGAUCCGGGAUGCCAUGUGGGAAUUACUUACCAACGAGUCCACCAACCACAGCUGGGAUGUGAUAUGUCAGCGGCUUCUGGAGAAGCCACUCCUGUUCUGGGAGGAUUUGAUGCGGCAGCUGUUCCUUGACCGGUUACAGACCCUGACAAGAGAAGGCUUUGACUCCAUCUCUACCGGCUGCAAGGAGCUCCUCAUUUCCGCCCUGCAGGAGCUCGAGAGCAGCACCAGCAGCUCCACUCCGAGUAAGCACAUCCACUUGGAGCGCAACAUGUCUCUCUUCCUCUGGUCCGAGAGUCCCCAGGACCUGCCUCCCGAUGCUGCCUGGGUCAGCGUGGCGCACCGGGGGCCGCGCGCCGGCAGCGGGCUCUCCAUGAAGGCGCAGGCGGUUAGCCCCUGCGUCCAGGACUUCUGCUCUGCCCUGGAUGCCAAACUGCAGGUUCAGCUGGACGACCUCCUGGCCUACCUUCCCUCUGCGGACGCGUCACCGCCCAAGGACGUCUCCCCCGUGCAAGCCAAGAGCUGUGCCUUUGACAGGUACGCGGAUGCCGGCACCGUGCUGGAGCUGCUGCAGGCGCAGUCCGUGGCGUGCAUCGAGCGCAUCACGGCCUGCAUCCGGGCAGAGCUGCACGGCUCGGAGCAGGUGGUGCAGGGGCAGCGGGAUGCCCUCGACAGUGUCCAGCUGCACGCGGUCCUUUUCAUGGCCAGACUCUGCCAGUCGCUGGGAGAGCUGUGUCCCCAUCUGAAGCAGUGCGUCUUGGGGAAGUCCAGGAACUCUGAGAAACCAGCAAGGGACCCUAAGGCUCUGAAAAAGCAGGGAAAGGGGACCACUCGGGAAGUACUUCCUUCGCAGGCCAAGUGGCAGGAAGUCAAGGAGCUCCUCCUGCGGCAGAGCGUGAUGGGUUACCGCGUGUGGAGCUCGGCGGUUGUGAAGGUUUUGGCUCACGGAUUCACCCGGUCGUUACUUCUAGACGAUGCCGGCUCCAUCCUGGCCACAGCCACCAGCUGGGAUGAACUAGAAAUCCAGGAGGAAGCGGAGUCUGGCAGCUGCAUCAUGUCCACAAUCCGACUCCCUACACAGCCAUCCUGGUAUGUCCAGUCCUUCCUGUUUAGCCUCUGCCAGGAAAUUAACCGUGUUGGAGGCCACGCUUUGCCAAAAGUGACCCUGCAGGAGAUGCUGAAAAGCUGUAUGGUCCAGGUGGUGGCUGCCUAUGAGAAACUUUCAGAAGAAAAACAGGUGAAGAAAGAAGGUGCGUUCCCCAUGACCCAGAAUCGGGCCCUGCAGCUGCUUUAUGAUCUGCGCUAUCUCAGCAUCAUUCUGACAGCCAGGGGUGAGGAGGUGAAGAGUGGCCGCAGCAAGCAGGACUCCAGAAUCCUUUUUUCAGAAUUGAGAAAGUGGCCGACUCCCUGGAAACACUCAUUGACCCGUUUGACCUGGAUGUCUUCACACCACACCUCAACAGCAACCUCACGCGGCUGGCGCAGCGAACCUCUGUUCUGUUUGGAUUGGUCACUGGUACAGAGAAUCAGUUCACGCCCAGGAGCAACACGUUCAACUCCCAAGAACCCCAUAACAUACUGCCUCUGGCAUCGAGUCAGAUCAGGUUCGGACUUCUUCCACUGAGCAUGACAAGUACCCGAAAGGCCAAAUCAACCAGCAGAAGCAUCGAAACAAAAACCCAGGUUGGCCCCCCGGCACUCUCCCGAGCAGGUGACCCGACGCACCCUGGCUCCUUGUUCAGACAGCUGGUCAGUGAGGAAGAAGACGCGUCUACGCCUUCGUUAUUCAAGCUAGGCUGGCUCUCUAGUAUGACUAAAUAACAUGGGAACAUAGCCAUCCCUCUCUAAAUAAAUACUACAUCACUUCUUCUAA